rnacentral:rRNA from 1 species
UGCGGUGAGGUUCUUCUCUCGGUGAUCUUGCACAGUGGGUUGGUCACGCUGAGUAUCUCCCAAGGUGCCACAACAUCUCUACCAUUCUUUGCUCUAGGGUGAGCUGCUUCAAUUUGCGACGGUCCGGCGCCCUUCGAUCCAGGGCGAGGGGCAGGGGUCCCCUUCGGAAUUGAAGAAGGAGGGUUUGAUCAUGGUGGUCUCCUUUCAGAGUAGAUGAGGGCAUGUUCAUCUUCGCUGGGCGCGAUUUC